rnacentral:lncRNA from 1 species
AGGACAGUAUCAGGAGAGGAGGGGCUUAUGAGGAGGUACCAAGCAGCUGUUGCAGCUUAAAGACUGGAGCAAGAAGAAUUCUUGAAGAUCCCAUGUGGCUGGGCAAAUACCUGGGAUUUGUGGAGAAAUUCCAGCUUCAAAAGUCCCUCAUCUUCAACAUAGCUGACCAGUGUCCCCUAGAUGAGGCCACUGCUUGACACUUCCACAUCCCCUCCACCUUCUGCUGCUUCAGCCUCCUUCCAUUUUCUCACCAUGGCCAGCAGCUCAGGAAGCCCCUCUGUCCCUCCUGGGGCCUGGAGCCCUGAGCCUGGAGCUGAGCCCUGCCAGCUUUGCCUUUCCUCACCCUCUCUCUCUGUGGUAAUCAAUCCCACCAAACACAAAAAUAGACACCCAAGGCUCCCAGCCUGGUCUAUGGCUGAAUGAAUGUUCUGGAGGCUUGAAAGAAGGUGAGCAAACCUAUGUGUUCAGAAAACGCCUCAUUCUUGCACACAAAAAUGUUUCUUGAGGGAUGAGGAGUGGCCCAGGGGGCAGGAUGCUUGCCCAACACACUCAAGACCAUCUUUGGUAGCAAGUAAAAGGAGUAAUUUGAAU